GUUCUCUGAAAGUGGCAAGUUGGUAUGUUUUCAUGCUCUAUAAGCUGUAAAAAUGCUUAUGGCCUCUGUAACUUGCUUAUUAUAUUCAUUUUAAAUUUUUUGUGGCAGUUUUUUAACAGUUGUAACCUAUUUUAACCAAUAUUUGAUCAUUUAUCAAUCUUUUAGAGUCAACGUGAUUUCUCAUUGUUGGUGCAUAAAUUAAUGUCUGGUUUGAAUUUUUUACAUUUUUCUUUUUCUUUUUAUGAUAAUAAGUUGCUUAUUUCAUUAUUUUAGGUGAAAUUUAAUGAUUAAACUUGUUUGUAUUGUUUGUUUUUCCAAUAUGAUGAUUGAUAUUUUAACUACAUUUUUUUAAGUAAGUAAAUGCCUUGCUGCAUUAUCU
rnacentral:misc_RNA from 1 species